rnacentral:rRNA from 1 species
CGACGAACUUCCGUUAAUUGAUUAUGACGUACUUGUACUGAUUGAGAUUUUAACACGAAGUGAGUGGCGAACGGGUGAGUAACACGUGGGUAACCUGCCCAGAAGUAGGGGAUAACACCUGGAAACAGAUGCUAAUACCGUAUAACAGAGAAAACCGCAUGGUUUUCUUUUAAAAGAUGGCUCUGCUAUCACUUCUGGAUGGACCCGCGGCGUAUUAGCUAGUUGGUGAGGUAAAGGCUCACCAAGGCAGUGAUACGUAGCCGACCUGAGAGGGUAAUCGGCCACAUUGGGACUGAGACACGGCCCAGACUCCUACGGGAGGCAGCAGUAGGGAAUCUUCCACAAUGGACGCAAGUCUGAUGGAGCAACGCCGCGUGAGUGAAGAAGGGUUUCGGCUCGUAAAGCUCUGUUGUUAAAGAAGAACGUGGGUAAGAGUAACUGUUUACCCAGUGACGGUAUUUAACCAGAAAGCCACGGCUAACUACGUGCCAGCAGCCGCGGUAAUACGUAGGUGGCAAGCGUUAUCCGGAUUUAUUGGGCGUAAAGCGAGCGCAGGCGGUCUUUUAAGUCUAAUGUGAAAGCCUUCGGCUCAACCGAAGAAGUGCAUUGGAAACUGGGAGACUUGAGUGCAGAAGAGGACAGUGGAACUCCAUGUGUAGCGGUGAAAUGCGUAGAUAUAUGGAAGAACACCAGUGGCGAAGGCGGCUGUCUGGUCUGCAACUGACGCUGAGGCUCGAAAGCAUGGGUAGCGAACAGGAUUAGAUACCCUGGUAGUCCAUGCCGUAAACGAUGAUUACUAAGUGUUGGAGGGUUUCCGCCCUUCAGUGCUGCAGCUAACGCAUUAAGUAAUCCGCCUGGGGAGUACGACCGCAAGGUUGAAACUCAAAAGAAUUGACGGGGGCCCGCACAAGCGGUGGAGCAUGUGGUUUAAUUCGAAGCUACGCGAAGAACCUUACCAGGUCUUGACAUCUUCUGACAGUCUAAGAGAUUAGAGGUUCCCUUCGGGGACAGAAUGACAGGUGGUGCAUGGUUGUCGUCAGCUCGUGUCGUGAGAUGUUGGGUUAAGUCCCGCAACGAGCGCAACCCUUAUUACUAGUUGCCAGCAUUAAGUUGGGCACUCUAGUGAGACUGCCGGUGACAAACCGGAGGAAGGUGGGGACGACGUCAAAUCAUCAUGCCCCUUAUGACCUGGGCUACACACGUGCUACAAUGGAUGGUACAACGAGUCGCGAGACCGCGAGGUUAAGCUAAUCUCUUAAAACCAUUCUCAGUUCGGACUGUAGGCUGCAACUCGCCUACACGAAGUCGGAAUCGCUAGUAAUCGCGGAUCAGCAUGCCGCGGUGAAUACGUUCCCGGGCCUUGUACACACCGCCCGUCACACCAUGAGAGUUUGUAACACCCAAAGCCGGUGGG